rnacentral:rRNA from 1 species
CACUCCUACGGGAGGCAGCAGUGGGGAAUAUUGCACAAUGGGCGCAAGCCUGAUGCAGCCAUGCCGCGUGUAUGAAGAAGGCCUUCGGGUUGUAAAGUACUUUCAGCGGGGAGGAAGGCAAUACGGUUAAUAACCGUGUUGAUUGACGUUACCCGCAGAAGAAGCACCGGCUAACUCCGUGCCAGCAGCCGCGGUAAUACGGAGGGUGCAAGCGUUAAUCGGAAUUACUGGGCGUAAAGCGCACGCAGGCGGUCUGUCAAGUCGGAUGUGAAAUCCCCGGGCUCAACCUGGGAACUGCAUUCGAAACUGGCAGGCUUGAGUCUUGUAGAGGGGGGUAGAAUUCCAGGUGUAGCGGUGAAAUGCGUAGAGAUCUGGAGGAAUACCGGUGGCGAAGGCGGCCCCCUGGACAAAGACUGACGCUCAGGUGCGAAAGCGUGGGGAGCAAACAGGAUUAGAAACCCCGGUAGUCCCAUGAU